GAGGGUAUAGCUCAGGGGUAGAGUGUGUGCUUGGCGUGCACAGGGUCCUGGGUUCGAUCCCCAAUGCCUCCA
rnacentral:tRNA from 1 species